AUAUCUGUAUCUAUCUCUUUCGAUCUAUAUGACUGUCCAUCUAAAUUUAACUGUUGGCAAAUAAGUUAGAGAUGGCUUCCUUUCUUAGCUAUAGAUGUUAGACAACCUAUAUAGAUGUUAGACAACCUAUCUAUAUAGAAGGUUCAUUAGAAAUCACUUUGUUGGGUGUCAUCAUUUACCUGAAUUUGUCUGGUAUUGUGAAUAUGACAACUUUUGGAGCAUCAUUGCCAUUGCUAACAGUAGGCAAUCUGGUUCAGCCUUUUGAGUCUGGGGUGAAUGAGUCACAGUGGGAAAGUGGAUGAUGCACUUCAGGGGCUGUUAUUUUUUUGGCUGCUGAGUACCAUUAUUAUGGUGAUAUGUUCAGUUGGUGUUCAGGGAGGGUUAGAACCUCUACUGUGAGAGCUUGCUGAAUGCUUUUCAGGGCUGCUUAUCCCCGUUUGGUGUCUACCUCUUUCCCAGCUCUUACCUGUGGCUCCAAGCUAUAGUUUUCAGCAGCAGCCUGUUAAAACUGUCCAGGCAGAUGGGUUAAGCUUGGGUUUAUGUCUAACUCUAGGCUUGUGAAGACCUCUCCUGCCAGAACAGAUGGAUGAGGCAAAAUUUGUUUCAGAAGCCAUGAAGGUGGCUGAAGCAAACACUUUCGAGUGCUUAAAACUUGGACGGCUAUUAGAGACACUGACAUCAUUCAGCAAUGUCCAAGGAUACAAUUGGCGGAGUUUCUUUUGUUUUAAAAAACAUGAUAAACAAGUACAGAAUGUGCGCAAGCAGGAAGAAACUGACCUAAAGCUGCUGGUGUCUGACUGGACAGAAACUCAAGUUGGCCAUUGGUUAAAGAGUAUUGGAAUGAAAAAAUAUAUCCUGAAAUUUGAUUAUAAAAGAGUAAGCAGUCAAGAACUUCUUGAAUUAGACAAUGAUGCAUUAAAAUGCAUUGGAAUCACUAAGAAGAGAGAUCGCAAGAAAAUCCUUAAGGGAAUUAAGAAAAUUCAACAGACAGAAAAAAAUUAAUACAAUCUAACAAUUAAAUAUAUCAAAAAGAUAAUUCUGGAAGAUACAGCAAAAAUGAGAAAAAUAUAAUUACAUGAUAUUUACCUUUAAUCUACUACUUCAACAUAUUAUUUUGAUAUAGAAUAAUUUUUCAUUGUUGAAAAAUUAUUAAUAUCAUCCAUAAUAAGCAUUACACAUAUUAUACUGUAUUUCUGAAUAAACUGAUUAUAAUAUACA
rnacentral:lncRNA from 1 species